GCUGAGGUGCAUUGUAGUUGCAUUGCAUGUGCACAAAGGAAGUGCAAUGUAACAGCAGUGCAGCUCAGACAUGGUUGCAAUG
rnacentral:pre_miRNA from 1 species